UUAGGUAUCACAAAUUGAUGAACACAAAAUUGAUGAAGAUUACAAACUCAAGUAUCAAUUGAGAACCAUGACCUCCUAGCUCUUCAACCAAUAUGGUUCUAGUGAGAGUUCUAUCAUAAUGGUCAAUAGUUCGCCUUUAUGUAUGCCCUCAGAAGUUGGUUAUAUUGGCCUCGUUCGACAUUCUUCUCUAUGCUGCUCUACUCCUCCGUUUUAUACACCAAAGGAGUGUAAGGCCCAAAAUUUGUAUAAUAAAAAUAAUAAUAAAAUAAA
rnacentral:lncRNA from 7 species